UUUUAAAUGCUUUGGAGCGUGUAGGUUAGUGACUAGCCAGAGAUUUCUAGGAGUAAGUCCUGCGUUACUCAGAACCAGUUAUUCUCAGGGAGAUCUCUCUAUAGGCUCCUCCCUGCUCCUUCGUGCCAAUGAAGGAUGAAUCAUUGC